UACGAAGGGGGCUAGCGUUGCUCGGAAUUACUGGGCGUAAAGGGUGCGUAGGCGGGUCUUUAAGUCAGGGGUGAAAUCCUGGAGCUCAACUCCAGAACUGCCCUUUGAUACUGAGGAUCUUGAGUUCGGGAGAGGUGAGUGGAACUGCGAGUGUAGAGGUGAAAUUCGUAGAUAUUCGCAAGAACACCAGUGGCGAAGGCGGCUCACUGGCCCGUAACUGACGCUGAGGUGCGAAAGCGUGGGGAGCAAACAGG
rnacentral:rRNA from 1 species